AAGACGCCCUGGAUUUAAAGACGUGCUAUCCCACCAGCUCCUGUAGGAGCUCAGCACCGCGUUUGGCCUGUUGCGAUCUUCCCGCUCCCCUCAUUUCUGUGCUGCAACGCCACCAUGCACGAGAAGUCAGGAUUCACUUGGCAGGGAAGACAACCAUGGAAUCCAAGGGCUGUGGACAACCAUCUACCAGAUGGUUGUUGAAGAUGCCUUCGGUCACGUCAUUUGUCCUUUUAGCUCGCCCUUUCCUUUAUCUUGAGUUGAAUUUUUGUGCAGCGCUAUGUUUGCAGUGGUAACACUGCUGCUGAGGUGUUUUCGAUUAAAAACGAUCUUAACUGUAAUAGUGAAUUCACUGAGUGUGGCUUUGUAUAACGACUUCCACGACCAUAACAUUUUUCUCCUUUGUCACAGAUAGGAGGAAAACUCUUUAGAGAGAGAUGGAGAAGGAAUUAAUUAUACCUCUGCCUCAUCCCAUGAGACCAGAAGACGUGUAGUAACUGUAAGCUGCGAUUCUCAGGAGACAUACUAAGCAUCUCUGGUUCCUUCUCGGCCUGCCCCCCUAAGGCCUUAGGGAUGAGAAAUCUUAGGCUUAAUGUUUUUCCCUAUGAAAUACUGUCGUGUUAAGGGGCGUAGCUGACUAACUGUUACGGGUCUGGUCGGAUUCGGGGUACUGAACUACCACGGUCACGGAUUCACCAAUAACGUAGCACACCCUCGCUCUAGUUGUGUUCAAUGAGAACUGUCACGGCUAGGAACAAUGCAACGAAGGGCAGUUUAUUACAGCAACAGGGACACAGGUUCUUUGGAAUUGCCGGCGAUAAAUUCACUGUCCGCAAAAGCAAGCGAGCACGCAUGAAAUACACGGCAUCCCAGUGCGGGGGGAAGAGAGGCUCAGCCCGUCGACUGAUCCCGGAAGUCAGAAAGGAGGCAGCUGUUCCCCAGGGCAUGGAUGCUGAGACAGACGGACAGACCUGCUCGAUGCUUGAGUCCCGCAGCCCCCCAGGGGAAGGGGAGAAUGUCUGGGCAGGGAGUUCUGCCGCAGUCUCCCUCACAGGAGUCCUGCGUAAGAGUUUAAUAAAGUUUGCUUUCUGGCUUGUGCUGCCCUCUGUGUUUGUGGACACUGUAAGUGGCCGUGGCUGUGCUGCUGGGUGCAGGUUCCUGGGUGUGGAGGGGGCAGAGGCUGGGGUGUUGGCCCUGUGUUUAUUGUCCAUGGGGGAGCCAAUGGACACAGACAAGCGAUCUGGGUGUGGGGGCAACCCUGCUGGGGAGG
rnacentral:lncRNA from 1 species